rnacentral:rRNA from 1 species
CCUACGGGAGGCUGCAGUGGGGAAUAUUGGACAAUGGGGGCAACCCUGAUCCAGCCAUGCCGCGUGUGUGAAGAAGGCCUUCGGGUUGUAAAGCACUUUCAGUGAGGAAGAACGCCUGGUGGUUAAUACCCAUCAGGAAAGACAUCACUCACAGAAGAAGCACCGGCUAACUCCGUGCCAGCAGCCGCGGUAAUACGGAGGGUGCGAGCGUUAAUCGGAAUUACUGGGCGUAAAGCGCGCGUAGGUGGCUUGAUAAGCCGGUUGUGAAAGCCCCGGGCUCAACCUGGGAACGGCAUCCGGAACUGUCAAGCUAGAGUGCAGGAGAGGAAGGUAGAAUUCCCGGUGUAGCGGUGAAAUGCGUAGAGAUCGGGAGGAAUACCAGUGGCGAAGGCGGCCUUCUGGACUGACACUGACACUGAGGUGCGAAAGCGUGGGUAGCAAACAGGAUUAGAUACCCCAGUAGUC